UACGUAGGGUGCAAGCGUUUGUCCGGAAUUAUUGGGCGUAAAGAGCUCGUAGGCGGUUUGUCGCGUCUGCUGUGAAAACUCGGGGCUUAACCCCGGGCCUGCAGUGGGGUACGGGCAGACUAGAGUGCGGUAGGGGAGACUGGAAUUCCUGGUGUAGCGGUGAAAUGCGCAGAUAUCAGGAGGAACACCGGUGGCGAAGGCGGGUCUCUGGGCCGUAACUGACGCUGAGGAGCGAAAGCGUGGGGAGCGAACAGG
rnacentral:rRNA from 1 species